GUCCGCACUUCGCCGGGGCUCCGGCGCGUGGAGCUCCGGAACAGGGGGCUCGAUAAAGAUCGGAUCGGAGGAAGUUCGGUCGGCGCCCAACGUAGAGGGAGGAAACCACGCAGAGCCUGGAGUGUGGAGUUCGAGAGGGCGGAGAGGUCAGCCAAAGCUGCGCCUUGCAGAACAAGACCCACCUCUUCAUGAGAGAGGAUGCUGCUGCUCUGGAACCGCACAAACUGGCCCAAGAAGCCCCAAACAUGCAGCAAUUCAGCAUUCCCAUUCACAGGCAUUGCCUGCGCCCCUGCUGCGCUCAGCGCUGGGCUAUGGACGCAGAUCUGUAGCCCACGGCACCCUGCCUUCUAGGAGCUCAGAGUCAGUGAGCAGGGGUGGGGUUGUGCCACGGGAGAGUGGGGUAAAUGCGGCAGACUUCAGCCCCUGAGAGAGGUGGCCCUUCAGGAACCCCCCACUGCUGGCCUUGCACCUCACACUUGUGACCAAAAUGGACUGUGUGUGAUUACCCACACACACCACCGUCUGCUGUGUUCUGCUCUCACUUCACUGCCUGGGUCACAUUGCCCUCUCUCUGCCUAUUAGUCCUCCGAGCCUCAGCUAAAAUGGUGUGUUCACUGAUGAUGUUCUUUCAUUUCAUCAAAGCCAGGCACAAGUGCCGACUACA